UGGGGAAUAUUGGACAAUGGGCGAAAGCCUGAUCCAGCCAUGCCGCGUGUGUGAAGAAGGUCUUCGGAUUGUAAAGCACUUUAAGUCGGGAGGAAGGGCAGUAAGCGAAUACCUUGCUGUUUUGACGUUACCGACAGAAUAAGCACCGGCUAACUCUGUGCCAGCAGCCGCGGUAAUACAGAGGGUGCAAGCGUUAAUCGGAAUUACUGGGCGUAAAGCGUGCGUAGGCGGCUAAUUGAGUCGGAUGUGAAAUCCCCGAGCUUAACUUGGGAAUUGCAUUCGAUACUGGUUAGCUAGAGUGUGGGAGAGGAUGGUAGAAUUCCAGGUGUAGCGGUGAAAUGCGUAGAGAUCUGGAGGAAUACCGAUGGCGAAGGCAGCCAUCUGGCCUAACACUGACGCUGAGGUGCGAAAGCGUGGGGAGCAAACAGG
rnacentral:rRNA from 1 species